rnacentral:sRNA from 1 species
UGACUGCACUACAAUUGAAAUGGCAAAUUUUUCACUUGCCCUGGGAUGAUUCAGAAUUGUAGGGGUUGUUUAUUUCAUACCCUUCAUCAUUAGAAAGUGUUUUUUACAGGGACGCUACAAAGGUAGACCAAUAGUAACAGUAAUCGUCGUCAUAUUUUUUUGCUGCUCUUUUUACAUUUCUUCAGUAAAGUUUGCCAUUUCGUAAUGGUAAGAUAUACGAGUCAACAACGAGUCGAAAUUAUUGAAAUUUACUACCGAAAUUCGGAGUCAUUGGUCUCAUCGUUUUCAUCGAAAAAUCAUCUUCAGCGAUGAGGCUCAUUUCUGGCUGAAUGGCUUCGUCAAUAAGCAAAAUAUCCGUUAUUGUUCAGAUAGCAAUCCAUACGUACUCCAUGAGUCAUGAUUGCAUCCCGGACUUGGAGGACAUGUGGUUCCAAUAGGACGGCGCCUCAAGCAACACAGCGAUUGUCACAAUCAAUUUAUUGGAAACCAAGUUUGGAGAACGUGUUAUCUAACGAAAUCAUCUCCGCCUCUUUCGUGCGAUUUGACUACGGUCUACGCCAACAAGCCUGCGACGAUUGAUGAACAUGGUACUAAUAUUGAACACGAAAUUGCAGCAGUAUCGGCCGAUUUAUGCUUGAAAACCGUCGAAAAUAGGUUUCAGCGUCUGGACUUCUGCAAGCGUUCCAGUGGUAGCCAUGUAAAAGAAAUCCAGUUCCAUACAUAAUGGCAUCGAACGAACUUUUACAGAAAUAAAGAAUUUCAUUGCAAUCCACAA